UACAGAGGGUGCGAGCGUUAAUCGGAAUUACUGGGCGUAAAGCGCACGUAGGCGGCUUGGUAUGCCGGGUGUGAAAUCCCCGGGCUCAACCUGGGAACUGCAUCCGAAACUGCCUUGCUCGAGUAUGGGAGAGGGAAGUGGAAUUUCCGGUGUAGCGGUGAAAUGCGUAGAUAUCAGGAGGAACACCGGUGGCGAAGGCGGGUCUCUGGGCAGUAACUGACGCUGAGGAGCGAAAGCGUGGGGAGCGAACAGG
rnacentral:rRNA from 1 species